rnacentral:lncRNA from 1 species
CAUAAAUACUAAUUGGUUGCUAUGGUGAUCUCAAGCUUGUAACUAAAACGGAGGUAUCUAGGUAACAGUAUCUGAAGGUGAGAAUGAUGAAUGCUUCAACUCUGGAGUUUCGUAGGGAGAUGGUGCUGGAGUAUAAAAACUGGCAAAUGUAGCCUCAGCUCCAAAGGAUUGGUGGAUAUCUUUGGACCUCGCACACGAUAUAUGGGUCUUCUCUUUCUUAAUCCUGAGGCAGAUGAUGCUGCUGAGUAAAAUCGAAAUCACACAUCAAAGCAGAUUGAGACCACUCUAAAUUUGUGAUCACAAAACCUCAUCUAGGCCCUCAGUGCUGCCAAGAAGGCCUGUUAUGACAUUUUAAAAUAACUUAAAUCCUUUAAAAAAUGGCAUCUUUUUUUUUUUUUUUUUACUGGUAUAUGGCUUUUAAAGUUCUUCAAAACCUUUCUUCCCCCCAGAACUUGAGAAGAUCCAACCAGUCUGUCAAAGGAGUAACAAAUUUGCAAAGCUUCCUGUGCAGAGCUUGAAGUCUACUCCACGUUCAUCCAGUCAACAUGUUUUGGGGGACACACAUCACAUCCCAGACUCAAUUGCUAAAUAAAGAAUCAAGAUCUCGAACCAAACCUUUCUCCUUUCAGGAUGUUGUGUUAGAAGUGACAUACAGAUAACUUUUCGUAUUCUAUGUGAGCAUCAUUUUCCUUGUGAAAUGUCUUGACGCUCCUUUGGAUGCAUUUCUACCCAACACAGGAUCCCUCACGCACACACGCCUGAUAGACGUUCAUCCAAGCAUGUGCUUAACUGAAUUAACAAGGUUUUAAAAUUGAACAAAGGAAGUCUAGAUCUUAUCAAUCUUUUAGUGUGUAACAUAACUCACCUCUUCUCCCCCUUUCGUAAAUAUGAAGAAUUCAGCUAUAUGAAGAAUUACUUUUAUAACAUUUGAGUGUUUGUUAUGUGUCAG